rnacentral:rRNA from 1 species
GCGAGUGAAGCGGCAAAAGCUCAAAUUUGAAAUCCUCGGAAUUGUAAUUUGAAGAGGCGGCGGCGAGCACAGACACGGCCAAGUCCACUGGAACGUGGCGCCACAGAGGGUGACAGCCCCGUGGGCCGGCGUCCUGCGCUCGUGCACCGGCGCCUCCAAGAGUCGAGUUGUUUGGGAAUGCAGCUCCAACGGGUGGUAUACUCCAUCCAAAGCUAAAUACCGGCGAGAGACCGAUAGCGAACAAGUACAGUGAUGGAAAGAUGAAAAGCACUUUGAAAAGAGAGUGAAACAGCACGUGAAAUUGUUGAAAGGGAAGGGUUUGCAAGCAGACACGCCCCGGCGGGCCAGUGUCGGUGCGCGGCGGCACACAAACAGGCGCCAACGUAGCAGGCGACUGCAUUAUAGGGCGCCUCGCCGUGCCGGCGCGCACCGAGGACAGCUAGAGAGGACACUGGCGUAAUGGUUGCAAACCGCCC